CAAUGAAGAAAGCAUGAAAAUGUGCACAUAAAUUGAAUUGAAUUUCUAGGCCUGCACUUUUUGAUGUCAUUUGGCUUUGAUUUGGAGGCAUGGUACAAUAGCAAAACA